rnacentral:rRNA from 1 species
AGAGUGCGUAAUAGCUCACUAGUCGAGUGAUGUUGCGCGGAAAAUUCAACGGGGCUAAGCAUACAACCGAAGCUUGGGCAGUAGUAAUACUGGGUAGGGGAGCGUUCUGUACGGGCAGAAGCAUCAGCGGAAGCAGAUGUGGACUGUACAGAAGUGAGAAUGCCGGAAUGAGUAGCGAGAAUUGUGUGAGAAUCAUAAUGGCCGAAAAUCUAAGGUUUCCGGGGGUAGGGUCGUCCACCCCGGGUUAGCCGGGAGCUAAGGCGAGGCCGCGAGGCGUAGUCGAUGCACAAACGGUAGAGAUUCCGUUGCCGCCAGAUCUUAAGUAACUGACACGAGGGUAGAGUUCAACCCGGCCGAUGGUAGAGCCGGGCGAAAGGGACUGAAGAAUAGUAGGGAAGUGAACGAAGCCAGCGGCGAGAAAAGGUUAUGUAUGAAAUCAGGCGCCCGUACCGCAAACCGACACAGGUAGAUGAGGAGAGGAUCCUAAGGCCAGCGGGAGAAGGGUUGUUAAGGAACUCGGCAUAUUGACCCCGUAACUUCGGAAGAAGGGGUGCCUCCGUAAGGAGGCCGCAGUGAAAAGGCCCAGGCAACUGUUUAUCAAAAACACAGGUUUCUGCAAAAGCGAAAGCUGAAGUAUAGGAGCUGACGCCUGCCCGGUGCUGGAAGGUCAAGGGGAUCGCUUAGCGCAAGCGAAGGCGAGAACUUAAGCCCCAGUAAACGGCGGCCGUAACUAUAACGGUCCUAAGGUAGCGAAAUUCCUUGCCAGGUAAGUUCUGGCCUGCACGAAUGGCGUAAUGAUCUGGGCACUGUCUCAACAGCCCGCCCGGCGAAAUUGUAGUACCGGUGAAGAUGCCGGUUUCCUGCGACUAGACGGAAAGACCCCAUGGAGCUUUACUGUAGUCUGAUACUGAAAUUUGGUUCAUUAUGCACAGGAUAGGUGGGAGACAGAGAAACCCGGGCUUUGGCUUGGGCGGAGUCGCCGUUGGGAUACCACUCUUGAUGAACCAAGUUUCUAACCUGCUCCCGUAAUCCGGGAGGGGGACAAUGUCAGAUGGGCAGUUUGACUGGGGCGGUCGCCUCCAAAAGAGUAACGGAGGCGUUCAAAGGUUGGCUCAGCGCGGACGGAAAUCGCGCAAUGAGUAUAAACGUAUAAGCCAGCCUAACUGUAAGACCUACAAGUCGAGCAGUAACGAAAGUUGGAGUUAGUGAUCAGGUGGUAGUGAGUGGAAAUGCCAUCGCUUAACGGAUAAAAGCUACCCUGGGGAUAACAGGCUGAUCUCCCCCAAGAGUUCACAUCGACGGGGAGGUUUGGCACCUCGAUGUCGGCUCAUCACAUCCUGGAGCUGGAGAAGGUUCCAAGGGUUCGGCUGUCCGCCGAUUAAAGUGGUACGCGAGCUGGGUUCAGAACGUCGUGAGACAGUUCGGUCCCUAUCUGUCGUGGGCGUUGGAUAUUUGAGAAGGGCUGACCUUAGUACGAGAGGACCGGGUCGGACGCACCUCCUGUGCACCAGUUGUCCUGCCAAGGGCAUAGCUGGGUAGCGGCGUGCGGUUUUGAUAAACGCUGAAGGCAUCUAAGCGUGAAGCAUGCUUCAAGAUGAGAUAUCCCAUCAUUUCAAAUGAGUAAGGUCACUUGCAGACUACAAGUUGAUAGGUCGGGUGUGUAAGCACGGUAACGUGUUCAGCUAACCGAUACUAAUUGACCGAGGGCUUGAACC